UACGGGGGGGGUAAGCGUUGUUCGGAAUUACUGGGCGUAAAGGGCUCGUAGGCGGCCAACUAAGUCAUACGUGAAAUCCCUCAGCUUAACUGGGGAACUGCGUGUGAUACUGGAUGGCUUGGAUUUGGGAGAGGGAUGCGGAAUUCCAGGUGUAGCGGUGAAAUGCGUAGAGAUCAGGAGGAACACCGGUGGCGAAAGCGCUCUGCUAGGCCGCAACUGACACUGAGGGACGAAAGCUAGGGGAGCGAAUGGG
rnacentral:rRNA from 1 species